GAGGCAGGAGAAUGGCUUGAAACCAGGAGGUGGAGGUUGCAGUGAGCCAAGAUCAUGCCACUGCACUCCAGCCUGGGUGACAGAGCAAGACUCUGCCUCAAAAAAAAAAAGAGAGAGAGAUCUCCUCUCAAGGUGUCUCUUUGCUGUCCCUUCCACACAGGUCUGAGUUCCCCCAGAAGUAUUACUGGUGGUUCUUCCAGACCGUACCAGGCCUCACGGGGGUUGUGCUGCUCCUGAUCCUGGCCAUCAUGUAUGUCUUU
rnacentral:sRNA from 1 species